rnacentral:rRNA from 1 species
UACGUAGGGUGCGAGCGUUAAUCGGAAUUACUGGGCGUAAAGCGUGCGCAGGCGGUUCGUUAAGUCAGCUGUGAAAGCCCCGGGCUCAACCUGGGAAUUGCGGUUGAAACUGGCGAACUAGAAUCUGGCAGAGGGGGGUGGAAUUCCACGUGUAGCAGUGAAAUGCGUAGAUAUUGGGAGGAACACCAGUGGCGAAGGCGGCUCACUGGACCGGAACUGACGCUGAGGCGCGAAAGCGUGGGGAGCAAACAGG